ACUCCUACGGGAGGCAGCAGUGGGGAAUUUUGGACAAUGGGGGCAACCCUGAUCCAGCAAUGCCGCGUGAGUGAAGAAGGCCUUCGGGGUGUAAAGCUCUUUUGUCAGGGAAGAAACGGUGGUGGCGAAUAACUACUACUAAUGACGGUACCUGAAGAAUAAGCACCGGCUAACUACGUGCCAGCAGCCGCGGUAAUACGUAGGGUGCAAGCGUUAAUCGGAAUUACUGGGCGUAAAGCGUGCGCAGGCGGUUGUGUAAGUCAGAUGUGAAAUCCCCGGGCUCACCCUGGGAAUUGCAUUUGAGACUGCACGGCUAGAGUGUGUCAGAGGGGGGUAGAAUUCCACGUGUAGCAGUGAAAUGCGUAGAUAUGUGGAGGAAUACCGAUGGCGAAGGCAGCCCCCUGGGAUAACACUGACGCUCAUGCACGAAAGCGUGGGGAGCAAACAGGAUUAGAAACCCUUGUAGUCCC
rnacentral:rRNA from 1 species